CCCCCUCAGAACUCUGCGCGCAGCUAACAAUCUGGCAAUGUUGAAGAACUUCUCAGUAGAGCUUCAUGACUUUCAUGCAAUCGUCAGUCGGCGUCCAUGCUGGUUUUUCUAUCUAAUCUAAAAUGAGUGAAUCUGAAUCCGAUUCUGCGCCAUCUCCAGCUAAGAAAAUGUUAUAACCAAACAUUCCACCCAGGCGUGUGGAAACAGCUGAGAAGUCUCCUCGUCCUUUGCUGGAAGACAAAAAUCCAUCUCAGCCAGACCGUGGAGUUUCUCAAAGGCCCAACCAUGGCAGGGGACCAAGUGAAAGGAGGCUGGGAGCCCAAGAAGCGUUUCAGCCUCGUCCUAAAUAUGUUCAGGAAGAUGGAGGUGUGUUUAGCCAGGGAGUAGCAGAUAAGGAACACACUGACCCUGUGAAAAACGCAUUAAGUGCUGUUGAUAGAUAUGAGGUCAAAAAAACUAAUGUGGUGAAGUUUGCUGAAAGCGCUCGAUCGAAUUUCGACGCCAGCAAAAGUGCCUCCGCCAUCGGCCACGACAGGCCAGGCGCAAACACCGCAGCCAUCGGCCUCGACGAGCCAGGCAAAGGGAGCAAAAACACCUAGAAGGCAACCGGCAGCUGGAAGGAAAAAGGCGGAAGCUUCGAAAGAAGCCCAGGCCAGGAUCCUGAACCCUCCGGCCCUCCUAAGUCCCAUUAGCCCCAAGCCAACGAAAGGCAAAGCUCUAGGUCCGGCCGAACAACUGAGAGAAAUCUCAGACGAGGUGUCGCCGAGCUCAGCGGCAUUUCACAUGACCAAGGAUACAAGGGAGGCAAAGAUAACCAGAUGGUUAAACUAUGGAGGAGUUUUUAUAGUGGGAUAUCGCAUGUACAAGUUACUCACCAAAGAGAAAGAAAAGCGUUCAGAACAAGACGAGCUAUUCCAGCGAGCACUUGUAAAUCCUGGACCAGAUCUUCUCGUUUGCGACGAAGGUCAUUUACUGAAGAAUGAUGUAUCUGAAACUUAUAAAGCAUUGGACCAUAUUAAUACUUGACGCCAGAUUAUGCUGACGGUCAGCAUAAAUCGAGCACGACAGGCCAGGCGCAAACACCGCAGCCAUCGGCCUUGACGAACCAGGCAAAGGGAGCAAAAACACCUAGAAGGCAACCGGCAGCUGGAAGGAAAAAGGCGGGAGCUUCGAAAGAAGCCCAGGCCCAGAUCCUGAACCUUCUGGCCCUCUUAAGUCCCAUUAGCCCCAAGCCAACGAAAGGCAAAGCUCUAGGUCCGGCCGAACAACUGAGAGAAAUCUCAGACGAGGUGUCGCCGAGCUCAGCGGCAUUUCACAUGACCACAUGAUUUAAAAAAACUGAUGUGGUGAAGUUGAAGGCAGAGAUAUUAACUGUUGUGAAAUCAAGUGAAGAAUCCCAUCAAUCACACCAUCAAGUAAUAACAUGAGUGAAUCUGAAUCCAAUUCUGCGCCAUCUCCAGCCAAGAAAAUGUUUAAACCAAACAUUCCACCCAGGCGUGUGAAAACUGAGAAGUCUCCUCGUCCUUUGCUGGAAGAAAAAAAUCCAUAUCAGCCAGACCGUGGAGUGACGUGGAGGGGACAAAGUGAAAGGAGGCUGGGAGCCCAAGAAGCGUCUCAGCCUCGUCCUAAAUAUGUUCAGGAAGAUGGAGGUGUGUUUAGCCAGGGAGUAGCAGAUAAUGUGAGGACAGUGGGGACAGCAAGAGGGAAGGCUCGUUCCGUUUCUGUGAUGCCACUCCCCGCCUCCUCUCUACUUUUGAGUCUGCACCUAUAAAUGGUGGUAUGUCUCGAAAGGUCUUCUUCGCCAUUUCGGGUGGCCGCACCACAACAUGCGGCUCCGCGCUGGCGGGGAGGGCAAGAGGAGAGGCCGGUCGGAUCUUUGCCAAUACCUGAAGUCUAUGAGAGUCGAUGCGAAAGUUUUCGUCCGUUAGGCCAAUGUCCCUCUGGUCGCUCUGUUUACUGCACAUCGUCCAUUCCCCUGUCAGAGCAAACCCCUCCACAUGCCCGCACUAGAGCUGCCGUCAGGCCGAGCUCCCCUAUCUUAUCGUAAUUUUGCUAAUUUGUGUCUCUUCCUACCCCCUUGUACAUAUGUAUCUGUUAAAUUUGGACGUAAUAGACUUGGGCAACACUCGGUCUCCGAGUCUCUGCCCAAUUUAAAUUAAAAAA